rnacentral:siRNA from 1 species
UUCCAGAUUCAGGGGAGUGUCGA